rnacentral:rRNA from 1 species
GGCGUGCUAUACAUGCAAGUCGAGCGAAUGGAUUAAGAGCUUGCUCUUAUGAAGUUAGCGGCGGACGGGUGAGUAACACGUGGGUAACCUGCCCAUAAGACUGGGAUAACUCCGGGAAACCGGGGCUAAUACCGGAUAACAUUUUGAACCGCAUGGUUCGAAAUUGAAAGGCGGCUUCGGCUGUCACUUAUGGAUGGACCCGCGUCGCAUUAGCUAGUUGGUGAGGUAACGGCUCACCAAGGCAACGAUGCGUAGCCGACCUGAGAGGGUGAUCGGCCACACUGGGACUGAGACACGGCCCAGACUCCUACGGGAGGCAGCAGUAGGGAAUCUUCCGCAAUGGACGAAAGUCUGACGGAGCAACGCCGCGUGAGUGAUGAAGGCUUUCGGGUCGUAAAACUCUGUUGUUAGGGAAGAACAAGUGCUAGUUGAAUAAGCUGGCACCUUGACGGUACCUAACCAGAAAGCCACGGCUAACUACGUNAAACAGCCC